UACGUAGGGUGCGAGCGUUAAUCGGAAUUACUGGGCGUAAAGCGUGCGCAGGCGGUGAGCUGUGUCCGAUGUGAAAGCCCCGGGCUUAACCUGGGAAUGGCAUUGGAAACUGGCUCGCUGGAGUGUGGCAGAGGGGGGUGGAAUUCCGCGUGUAGCAGUGAAAUGCGUAGAGAUGCGGAGGAACACCGAUGGCGAAGGCAGCCCCCUGGGCUAACACUGACGCUCAGGCACGAAAGCGUGGGGAGCAAACAGGAUUAGAACCUACCGAGUCAG
rnacentral:rRNA from 1 species